rfam:Erinaceus europaeus unplaced genomic scaffold scaffold00156, whole genome shotgun sequence
GUGCUCACACUUCGGCAGCACAUAUACUAAAACUGGAAUGAUACGGAGAAGAUUAGCAUGGCCCCAGCACAAGGAUGACAUGCAAAUUUGUGAAGCAUUCCAUAUUUUU